UACAACUCAGAGGCACCGGGGCAGGAAACAGGAAAUGUAAAUGCUCCACCGAAGCCCAGAGAGAGCCGCGGAGGCUGAGGCAGCAUGCAGGCACCCGGCUGGGUCCCGCUGCUGAGCGCCCUGCUCCUCGCCCAGGAGGGCAACGGCUCCGAAAACAGUGAGGAUGGUUCUGGCUAUGGAUCACCAGCAUUACCCACCACCAUAGUGAUACCUUCUCCUGCUGUGACUCCUGUGUCCUCUACAACUGUGGGCAGCACCCAGCCAGUACUGGUCUCUACAAGGCCUACUGAAGGCAGCUCUGAAGCGGAAAGUAUUCCAAGCACCAAACUGCAUGACAUGAGCAAUAACGAGAGCCUAGAGACGGAGGAGCCAUCUGUCUUGGUGUAUGCUGUCCCUGCUGUGGUGCUGGCCCUGCUGAUUAUGCUGGUUAUAGCUUUUAUAAUAGUCCAUAAAAGGAAAAAGUCUAAGCAAGAUGAGCUGGGAAGUGAAAAUGUAAAAAGCCAACAGGCAAAGGAGAGGCAGCGGGAUGGGGCGCGCAAGAGCUGCCCCACGGGGACCCAUGGAGCAUCUGCCCCUGGCCCCACCAGCCACCACGAGAUAUGGCCGUGCCACGAGCAGAGUCCUAUUUUUGAAGAAGACACCCCCUCUGUUAUGGAGAUAGAAAUGGAAGAGCUUGAUAAGUGGAUGAACAGCAUGAACAAAAAUGGUACACGGUAACCCCUCUACUCCAUCAUCCCUCUCUUUCUAGCUGACGUAGAUCCCACGCGUAGAAAACCAAUCUGAUUGUGAAUGUUUGCCUACUGUAAGAGAAGAAGAAAAAGAAUCGAUGGCCAACCCAAGUGAUGGUGAAUCAUGAAGUCACAGCAGCCGAGAACUGCUUAAAGGGAAGCAGCACAUGAGCUGACAGACCCCAGAUCCCGGAUGAACUGGAUUUAAACACGAUUCAUCUCAAAAGGCUGGAGGAGCAAAUGCCUUUGUUGUGCCCUGCUACUUACAAUCUUCAGAAAAGAAACAUCAAGAGGAAAAAAAAUAAUAAAGAAAAAAGUGCUAUAGUAGGACUAGGAGGGUGACUUAUAUUCCUUGCCUAGUGACAUUCAACACCAGUCAAGAAAAACAUUUUCCCCACCCCAAAAAAAAGCUGCCCAUGUUGCUGCAUAGCUCUCCUUUUCUGCAUAGUGCAGCACCUAGGAGCACGUAUGGGCUGAAUUUGGUGGGCCGUUUGUUCAUUCUUUUUGAUUUAAACAGGACCCAUAAUUCUGGAUUGCACUGGUUUAGUGUGUUCGAAUCAGACUGUUGAGCUCGUAUCGAUGUCACGUUUACUCUUCAAUUUAUUUUUUGGUAAUGGUGCACUGAUUUGCACAGGACUUCUGCUUAGGGCAGUAAAAGACUAGGACUAACAGACAGCUGUGAGGACAGACAGCAGCUGAAGCUGUCCCAAAGAAUUUGCCAGGAGGCAGCCUGCAGCCCAGCAAGGGUACAACUCUCCUAGCAAGCAUUUUCUUUUUCAAAUUAAAGACACCAUAGAAGUGAAAAAUAUUAUUUCCAUAUUGCCUUGAGUUAACCCACUCCACAGCUCAGCACUAUGCUAGAUCUCACCACCCUGCUCUUCUUCCCGCACAGCGCUGCUCACCAACAUCAACCUGCUUCAGGCACACUCAGCUUGAAAAUGCUUCUCUUAAUCAAAAUGGGCUGGGAGACUGAACAAUUCAGUGCUCAUACCAAACACAUCUGGUAGAUAAGCAUGCAUUAUUCUUAACCACUUGGUCAAGGACUUCAGCUGCAAGAAGAUUACAGCUUCAGGUUUUGAAGACUGAGCUUGGAAUAUCUGAAAGACAUUGGCUUCUCAACAUGCCUGCUCUCCUUCAGUGACACUGGAAAGUCAGACUCCUCAGAUACCUCAAGUUGGGAGCACAGAUAUUGUAUUACUCCCACUGAUUUUAGGUGGCAUGUCUUACUGAUGUGGUUUAAGUAUGCAACACACAAAACUGGAUACUUGUCUGUGCAAAGCUUCCCCUCGACUGUAUUGAAAACUUGCAUCUUAUCACACCUUAGAUCCUUCCAUAUCACAUCCCACCUGUCCUCAUCUUCUAUUUAAAUGUAAAGCUUCCUGCUCCAUAGCUGUUCAUUAUGCUCAGUUUUCUUUAACUUGCAAAUAUUUCACUAAUAUAUGUUCAUGCCUAGCUUGGUUAAAGAGAGCAAGUGAACAAUAACCCCAGAGCCCUAGGAUGACAAUUAAUGCUCACUAAAAUCUGACAGAUACAGAGGAGGGGUCAACUUCGUCAAUAAUUGAGAAUGUGUCAAACAGAAAAAGUGUUUACAGCUAACCAUUUUCCUGAAUGUAUUCAUCACUGAAUAUGAAUUAACUAGUAAUUUCCUCAAAGAGUAAAUAUUUCCUCAUUGUUCCAAGACAAUUUAUUGCAAAUACUGGAUUUAAUAUGGGUGAUGCUAAAUUAAUUUUCCUUGCUUGGAUGAUUUUUAACUUGGAAAAAAUGUUGUAAGAGAUAAAUGUAAAACAUUUUUUCCAAACAUUUUCACAAGUUCCUGACAGUAAAAUCACUCUCUAGAACACUGAUUUAAAAUAAUACAAUCACAGGGGAAUAAGGGGAAGACAAAUUAAGACAAGAAAAAAAAAAAAAAGGAAGCGGAUAUUUUCCAGGAGCAGCUUUGUUAGCAGUUUCUUCCCAACUGAACUAAGUUGCUAUGCUAAGGCUUCCUACAGUUUGCAAAGCAAUAAUCAGAAGAUGUUCAAAAUAAUGUUUUCUGUAACUGUUCAUGAGAAAAAAAUGUGCUUUGAGACCAUUACUCAUUACUGGUUGUGUGGCUGGCAUGCAGUGGUUUGCAACAGCAGUAUCCCGUGGUGCCUCUCACCCCAUAUCCAGCCCACACCACCCCAUAUCCAGCAGGUGCUGCCUUCUCCAAGAAACCAGCUGAAGCCCAGCUGAGACAAAGAACUGGGGUCUGUGCCUAUUCCUGUGGCUUUUUUUUUUUUUUUUUUGGGUUGACUUAAAAACUUACCCAACCCCUCAAAAUGGCACUCUGUGGCAUAACAAAACCAUGACAUGAUGAUCCUUCACCCUGUCCUAGCCAUGGAUCUAGGACAGUGAAUAAUGCACCACAGCGCAUGGGGACAGUACUUGAAAACAGACUGUCGUGCAUAUAUUCUGUUGGUUUUGAAUUACUAUUAGUCCCCAGUUGGUCAAUGGGCUGCACAGUUUCAAGUAAUUUUCUUAGACAUUUGGUUUCCCUGAAAGAUUUAAGUAAAACUAGAGGGAACACAUUUUCUCUAAACUUAUGUUAAUAAGCAUUAACCCUUGUUCUGAAGUUCAUCAUUAGCAAUUUCUACCUCAAGCUUUAAAAUCAUUUUUGCCCAGAAUUAAUCUUGAGGUGACAGCUCUAUAAA